rnacentral:rRNA from 1 species
GAUGAACGCUGGCGGCGUGCCUAAUACAUGCAAGUCGAGCGAACGGACGAGAAGCUUGCUUUUCUGAUGUUAGCGGCGGACGGGUGAGUAACACGUGGAUAACCUACCUAUAAGACUGGGAUAACUUCGGGAAACCGGAGCUAAUACCGGAUAAUAUUUUGAACCGCAUGGUUCAAAAGUGAAAGACGGUCUUGCUGUCACUGAUCGAUGGAUCCGCGCUGCAUUAGCUAGUUGGUAAGGUAACGGCUUACCAAGGCAACGAUGCAUAGCCGACCUGAGAGGGGGAUCGGCCACCCUGGAACUGAGACACGGUCCAGACCCCUACGGGAGGCAGCAGUAGGGAAUCUUCCGCAAUGGGCGAAAGCCUGACGGAGCAACGCCGCGUGAGUGAUGAAGGUCUUCGGAUCUUAAAUCUCUGUUAUUAGUGAAGAACAUUUGUGUAAGUAACGGUGCACAUCUUGACGGUACCUAAUCAGAAAGCCACGGCUAACUACGUG